rnacentral:tRNA from 1 species
AUGCUGAUAGUAUUUAUGUAUAACUAUCUUCCAAAUAGGAGGCCCUUACAGUAGGUCAGCAUA